AGCAGCCGCGGUAAUUCCAGCUCCAAUAGCGUAUAUUAAAGUUGUUGCAGUUAAAAAGCUCGUAGUUGAAUUUCGGGAUCAAAGGAUCGGUCAUGCCUUGGUAUGUACUGGUUUUAUUGGUUCUCACCUUCUAAAGAACCAUAAUGUCAUUCAUUUGAUGUUAUGGGGAAUUAGGACUGUUACCUUGAAAAAAUUAGAGUGUUUAAAGCAGGCUUACGCUUGAAUACAUUAGCAUGGAAUAAUGAAAUAGGACGUUUGAUUCUAUUUUGUUGGUUUCUAGGAUCGACGUAAUGAUUAAUAGGGAUAGUUGGGGGCAUUAGUAUUCAAUUGUCAGAGGUGAAAUUCUUGGAUUUAUUGAAGACUAACUACUGCGAAAGCAUUUGCCAAGGAUGUUUUCAUUAAUCAAGAACGAAAGUUAGGGGAUCGAAGACGAUCAGAUACCGUCGUAGUCUUAACCAUAAACUACGCCGACUAGGGAUCGGAUGAUGUUAAUUUUU
rnacentral:rRNA from 1 species